UACGGAGGGGGCUAAUGCUAUUCGGAAUAACUGGGCGUAAAGGGCACGUAGACGGAUUGCUAAGUUAAAAGUGAAAUCCCAUAGCUUAACUAUGGAACUAUUUUUAAAACUAGUAAUCUAGAGAUUGGCAGAGGAUAGUGGAAUUUCUAGUGGAGGAAUGCAAUCCAUAGAUAUUAGAAGGACCCCCUGAAGCGAAGGCGACUAUCUGGGCCAAAACUGACGUUGAGGUGCGAAAGCGUGGGGAGCAAAUGGG
rnacentral:rRNA from 1 species